AAUCUUGGACAAUGGGGGCAACCCUGAUCCAGCCAUGCCGCGUGAGUGACCUAAGGCCUUAGGGUUGUAAAGCUCUUUCAACGGUGAAGAUAAUGACGGUAGCCGUAGAAGAAGCCCCGGCUAACUCCGUGCCAGCAGCCGCGGUAAUACGGAGGGGGCUAGCGUUGUUCGGAAUUACUGGGCGUAAAGCGCGCGUAGGCGGAUUGGUCAGUCAGGGGUGAAAUCCCGGAGCUCAACUCCGGAACUGCCUUUGAUACUGGUUAUCUUGAGUUCUGGAGAGGUGAGUGGAAUUCCGAGUGUAGAGGUGAAAUUCGUAGAUAUUCGGAGGAACACCAGUGGCGAAGGCGGCUCACUGGCCAGAUACUGACGCUGAGGCGCGAAAGCGUGGGUAGCAAACAGGAUUAGAUACCCUGGUAGUCCACGCCGUA
rnacentral:rRNA from 1 species